UUCCGGUUGAUCCUGCCGGAGGCUACCGCUAUUGGAGUUCGAUUAAGCCAUGCGAGUCGCGAGAAAUUAGGUUCUCGGCGUACCGCUCAGUAACACGUGGGUAACCUGCCCUAUGCUGGAUAAUAACCUCGGGAAACUGAGAAUAAUGAUCCAUAGUUCACUACGCCUGGAACGGUGAGUGGAUGAAAGCCCCGGCGGCAUAGGAUGGGCCUGCGGCGUAUCAGGUUGUAGGGGGUGUAACGUACCCUCUAGCCCUCUACGCGUACGGGUGUUGGGAGACAUAGCCCGGAGAUGGAUUCUGAGACACGAAUCCAGACCCUACGGGGUGCAGCAGGCGCGAAAACUUGGCAAUGCGAGAAAUCGUGACCAGGGAACUCCAAGUGCAUCGGGUAAGACCGGUGCUUUUCUUGACUCUAAAUAGGUCUUGGAAUAAGGGGUGGGUAAGGACGGUGCCAGCCGCCGCGGUAAUACCGGCGCCUCAAGUGGUAGUCGCUUUUAUUGGGCCUAAAACGUCCGUAGCCGGUCUGAUACAUUCGUGGGUAAAUCAACCAGCUCAACUGGUUGAAUUCUGCGAGGACGGUCAGACUUGGGACCGGGAGAGGUGUGGGGUACGCUCAGGGUAGGGGUAAAAUCCUGUCAUCCUGAGCGGACCACCUGUUGCGAAGGCGCCACACUAGAACGGAUCCGACGGUCAGGGACGAAGCCUAGGGGCACGAACCGGAUUAGAUACCCGGGUAGUCCUAGGUGUAAACGCUGUGGACUUGAUGUUGGGGGCGCUCCGAGCGCUUUCAGUGUCGAAGCGAAGGUGAUAAGUCCACUGCCUGGGGAGUACGGUCGCAAGGCUGAAACUUAAAGGAAUUGGCGGGGGAGCACUGCAACCUGAGGAUUGUGCGGUUUAAUUGGAUUCAACGCCGGA
rnacentral:rRNA from 1 species